rnacentral:lncRNA from 1 species
UUAAAUGUGACAGCACUGCCAGCAGGUACCUGUGGCCGCCUAAAGCACCACCCAGCUUCUUCUCUUGUGAGGUGGUGCGCCUGCCUUCGCUAUGCCCUCAGGCAGGACGGGCACUGCCUGCUUUCUCCUCUCUACAGUGGCAAGUGUCUUAGGAAGAGCAGCUCUCCUGCUCCAGACAGGCCCAGCCUGGUGGGCCUGAGGGUAGCAGACCCCGGUACAUGAGUCUCGAUAUUGCUCUUUCUUACUGGGUAAGUCUGAGCUCUGAGAACUUCCGGACACUCAAGAGACCAGCUGGUCUGUUCCAAACCCGGUGAGGAGGCUGGUGAGGGUCACACUCAGGGCAGGCUGCCCAGGCCAAGUUGCUGAGCCACAGGGAGGUUCUGCAGAUGAUGGUCUCCAUAAAGCAGGCACUUGUGGCUGCCUGAAGCGCUAGGUGACCCCAUUCUUCCUGAUGCUGAAGAAGACGUCACACAUCCACUUCCUGGAAUCCAGAAGCCUUUGUUUCCUCCUCGGACAGACAGGGAAGUCUCAGUGGGUACCAAGUUCAUCUGACGUUUCCAGCCUUUGUCCUCUGACUGGUUUCAAGAUGAGACCAUGACAGAGACUGACUUGUCAGAAAACAACAUCCAACCACGAAUCUCCAGGUGGGGACUUUUCCGUCUUUCCUGGGAUCUUGCUGGUCUUGAAUUCUACAUUCUUCUACUUCGGACUGGUGAGUGUAGGGAUUACAGUCAUACAGAGCCACACCCACUGGUCCUAAAAUAGUUUUCUUUUCUCUUUGUUUUAAGGGAACGUCUACCAAAUGCUACACAGGGUUGAGACAAAUACUGUUCAGCUCAGUGUUGCUACUACACAGAAGGAUAAGACAGAAUCCUUGUCUUCUCACACUUGAGCUGGGGGCACCCACAGCUACAGGUCUGAAGAUGCCAACAUGAUGAGCUGUUACCACAAUGGAAUGUAGAGACUGUGUAUGAGGGGAAUGUGAUGGAGGUAGCAUCUGUUUUGAGAGCUUCCCCGGUAUACACUGCCACAAUAAAUAUGUCACAUUGGAAGGU